rnacentral:rRNA from 1 species
CUCAUUAAAUCAGUUAUAGUUUAUUUGAUGGUCUCUUUGUUCUCUUUUUACCUACUUGGAUAACCGUGGUAAUUCUAGAGCUAAUACAUGCGCAAGGUCCCAAGCGCGGAGAGUAAGGCUUUCAACGGCUUUAUUCUUGCAUGCGUAGCGGGAUGUAUUUAUUAGGUUAAACAACCAGCAAUUCUUUAAAACGGAAUUCAUUCUGGUGAUUCAUAGUAACUCUUUCGGAUCGCAUUCAUA